UGAAUGAGUGGAGGAAUGAGUGAGGGAGGAAUGAGUGUGGAGGAAUGAAUGAGUGGAGGAAUGAGUGAGGGAGGAAUGGGUGAGUGAAGGAAUGAGUGAGUGAAGGAAUGAGUGAAUGGAGGAAUGAGUGAGUGGAGGAAUGAGUGAGGAAGGAAUGAGUGAGUGAGGAAGGAAUGAGUGAGUGAGGAAGGAAUGAGUGGAAGAAUGCAUAAGUGGGGGAAUGAG
rnacentral:lncRNA from 1 species